AACAACAUGAACUUAACAAAGAUUCGUGAACUUAACAAAGAUUCAAGUAACAAGAGUUAUCUCUAACAUAAGAUACUACAACACCAAGAGAGCAAUACAAAAACUUCAAAACAGACGGCCACAAAACGACUUCAUCUUAUCUCACAAGGAUUAUGGCAACUGGAGACUAAUCUCACCAAGAUGAACAAGGUAUCAAUUCCUCUACCAAGUUUUAACUCAAUCAGAGAAAAUCUCACCGUUAAAGCUACCAAACAUUCAAAUCAGUAGUACUAAAAAGUUGUGACCACAAGCUUCCUAAACUCUAGAUAAUAUAGAUAAUAGAAGAUCCAACCAUUGAUAUCUAUAUCCCUUUGGUUAACC
rnacentral:lncRNA from 1 species